GCUCCAGCGAUGGCAUUCCAGUAGCGGUGGCGGUUUCCCUUCUUGCCCCUUCUUCCGUUGUCGGGACCGGGCGGCGCGGCGCGGCCAUGGCCAGGGGCCAGGCGGCCGUGAGCGGCGGGAGGCGGGCGCUGCUGCUGCUGCCGCCGCGCGGGGCGGACGGCGCCCUCCCGCCCGCCGCCGCUUCCCGUGAUCGCCGCGGGCCCCCCUCCCCCGCGCGCCGCUGCCUCGGCGACUGGCACCGCCCGGCCGUGGCGCCGGGCUCUGGGGCGGCCGGUAAUGGCAGCGCGGCCUGGGGAAGGCGCCCCGGCGGGACCUGCGGGGAGAGCCGCUGCGGGCAGCGGGAUGUAAGCAUCUCUGCAUCAUCAUCUUCGGAAAGCAAAGGGAAUGUUUCCUUAUUGGGAAAUAGGAGGCUUUUUUUUGACACCCAUGCACUGGUACGCCUCUUGGAAGAAAAUGGGUUCACUCCUCAGCAGUCAGAGGUCAUUGUAUCGGCAUUAGUGAAAAUUAUGAACGCCAACCUGGAUAUGAUUUACAAGGACAUGGUCACCAAAGUACAGCAGGUUAGCUUGAAGGAAAUUGCGCUUCAGCAAGUAAUGUCCCAUAUUGGUGGUGUGAAAAAGGACAUGAUUAUUUUGGAAAAAAGUGAAUUUUCAGCACUUCGUUCAGAAAAUGAGAAACUAAAACUUGAACUCCAGCAGAUAAAGAAACAAGUCAUGGAUGAAAUUGCCAAAGUUCAAGCAGAUAACAAGUUAAACCUAAACCUAGAGAAGACCAGAGUAAAAGAAUUGUACUCACUUAAUGAAAGAAAACUACUUGAAAUGAGGACAGAAAUAGUGGAAUUGCAUGCACAACAAGAUCGAGCACUGACCCAAACAGACAGAAAAAUUGACACAGAAGUUGCAGAUCUGAAAACAAUGCUUGAAACACACAAACUUGAUAAUAUUAAGUACUUAGCAGGUGAAAACCUGAAGACCAGCACCUGUCAAAGUGCUUGUUAACCUGUAAUGGAACUAGUGAAAACACAAUCACUGGACGUUUUUCUUCCUCAGCCUGUUUAAAACAGGUGGCCUCUGAGGGAACAAACGCACCAUUUCUUAUACCUGUGACUCUGUGCGCCCUUGGCCCAGCCAGGCAGAGGUGCUGCUUGAAGUGCAGCGGCCCCAGGACGUGGUAGGGGAAAACUGCCUGAAUUUGAGAGGAACGCCUUGCUGUGACAUUUGCCUUUUGGUCCUGCUUGGGAGUUCACUCAACUCCACACUGAAGGUUUGUCAAGUUAGGAAAUCUUCCUGUACUCUCUCCCUCUUCAAAAAAUAUCCAACAGCCAGAUUAAAUCUGUCUUGCUGACUUUCAUGUCAUCAGAUAGAGGAGUCUCUAAAGGGAGGCAAGAGUAGCAGCCAAGUAAUUAUGCUAGAGAUGCAUGAGUUCAUUUUAAGACAUUUCCUGUUUCACGCUUAUGCAUAAUCUUCUCUUAAAAAAGUAAAUUCGAAUUAGUACUAAAUACAUAUUCUUAAAUAGCAUCAACUAUGGGAAGGGUUCUUCCAACUCUAUAACAUAAAUUACCAUGAUACUGUAGUAAUCUUGCACAAUAAUCAGUGUAUCUUAUCUCUCAAGUUCACAUUUGGAGUUCAACUAUGUAUUUUAAAAAAAGCCCCCUGAAAGAGGAGAUUACUCAGAUUACUACUGGCUUGCCUUUUCUUUAUUACCUCAUGUUUAUUUCCUCAGUUACACACUGCAUAGUUCAAACAUUGCGUACCCCUUAGUAGCGAACAUCUCCAUUCCUGUUCAGAUGCGGGGUCCUGGCUUUGAUAUCCAAUAUACUGUGCAUCAAUGUGAACCUUGACUUACCAGUGAGAAUCCAAGGGAGUUCAAAAUCCUGCUAGCACAAGUGAGAUUGGAGGACCAGGACUAGGACUUUUGUUUUGGAGCUGGUAGUCUUUAACUUUACAAAAAUCUAGAGAUUUUUGCAGUAUUAGCGUCAAUGCUUUGCCCACCAUCUAAACCCUAGUAAACAAAGGCAAAAUUGUGCAGCGCCUAAUAUUUUAAUCUUUUUUUCAAGGGUAUCAUCUUGCAACACCAAAUUAAAUAAUUUGUCUCACGCAUCUGUUGAUUUUGUAAGUAAAGCACUACUGGUCAAAUUGUUUUCCUUACUGCCUCCUAAUUGCGGGAGGAAAACGUGUAAGUGGAUCGGAAUGGUGCUCCACAACAAUGAGUGUAACUCUCAUUUAAGGCACAGGAUAUGAGAUGGAGGAACCAAAUUGGAGCCAGCUGAGGACAGCUCUUCUACCAGGCAUUUGAGUUCCCCUAGGAGAAUUUUAUCCACCCUUGAAACCUAGUUGGGAUAUUUCUUCCAGUAGAGCUCUGCCUGUAGUGUAGGUAGGGUGCAGACAUUUUGCCACAGUCAAACCAUACGCAGCUUGGUUACACUUUGCUGUGUUCUUGGCAGCACUGAAGGAGCAUGAAUUAGUGAUAUUUUAUUUUUUUUCAUGUGUGUGUUUGUAAAAGGCACAGUACUGGAUGUUCAACAUCACCAAAGAGCCAAAAUAAAUAUACUGAUGGUAAUGACCUUCAGGAUGUGGAAGAGAAUGUUAUAUCACUUCAUGAUAAGUAAAUAAAUGUAAUAACAACUCAGGCCUUGUUAAUUUGACAAUGUCUUUAAAUUCAAUACAGUAGUAGAUACCUGGCUUCUUCCUACCAUACUUCCUAAGUUCUGCACUAAGCAUUGGAGGCUGUUAUACCUGUACAUUAUGUCCAUUCUUCUCAGUUAAAAAUUAAAGUAAAAAGGUCAUUCUUGAACAGGCUUAGAAACUAUACAGGGUUUUGAUAAAAUACAGGGCUAAUUGUAGUUGCGUAUAGCACUUCCUCCUCUUCCUACCUUCACCUGCUUUUAGGACCCAUAUUAAAAGAAAUAAGAGUUGUCUUCCAGGCAGUGUUGAUGUCCAUCUUCAGUACCACUUCUUGAAAAGACAUGUCAUCAUUAGCAUUAAUUUCUUCAGAAACAGAGAGAGAACCCUUUGUUGCCAGAGCCAGAAAACAUAAAGUUCAGAUAACCAUCACUUGGCACUUCUUGCUGGCCAAUUUUUAACUACUGUUUUCACAGUUUGUUACUAGCCAUUCAUCAACAAGGAAUGAUUGGUUCCUUGUUGCAGCACAGGGAGGGGGUGUCCAAAGCUUUUCCUGCACUGUUUCCCCAGCAAUGUUUGCUGGUUUUGUCUUCUAGUUAAAAUCAAUCCUGCCCAAGCUAUAAGCACAUACCUAACCAAGGAACAUUUAAAAGAUUUGUGUGACUGCAUCUAUACUCUUUGUGGGUAGAUGUGGUUAUAAUACUUCCUUUUCCUGCAUUUUUCACUGUGAUUGAAUAUUCCUUCUGUACAUAAGACUGUGCCACUUUAAUUAUGGAUCAUGCUUCGACCUAAAUUGAUAGAGAAUUUUUAUUGAAAGUUUGAAAGAGAAGUUGCUGCCGUCUCUGCUAUUAAUAGUAUUACUGCUUUAUAUAAGUAUGUGAUUCCCAUACAGUGGAUAAAUUAUAACAGACAAAUAAGCAUCUCUGCCCACAAGGAACUUUUACUUCUGCCUAAAAAGAGAUUAAAGGAUACAUAGCAGGAAAGUUCAAUACAGAAAACAGACAGAGGUUUGGAGGGUAGAGAGAAAAUGCUGCGAAGUAGCAAGUCUGCAAAAGGUCAAAGCUUAUCCUAGAGAUGGGGGGCAGUCAACACAAUUAGGGCCUGCAUUAAUGUCUCAUACUAUGUAUGGCAAUUCCUGGAUUAGUGGUAAAAAUUGAGAUGCCAGCAACUGAGGUGAAGAGGUUAUUUUUCCUAUGAAGUGUUUAAUUUUGCAAGUGUAUUUCUUCUCGCCCAAGCUCUGUCUCACCUCCUCCUAUGAGCCUGGGAUGAUGUGUCAUGGAGUCGCAUCUCACUUCAGCUGCACAUCUUCAGCAGCUUUUGGUCCCAACUCUUCCGCAUUCAUCCAGUCCUACUUCCCAUUUUCCUUGCUCAGACACAAAGCUCAGGCAGAGAAGUGGGACAGCGACCCAGCCCACACCUACUGUUGCUCUUCCUGCUGGGCCACCCAUGUGUCAGGUUGUGCUGCACACCCAGCUCUGUGCUAACCAGGCAUGUCCCAGCAGCACCAGGACAUUCAGGAGGGUGCCUGGUGGCACCUAACAGCUCACACAGGACCCACAGUGGCAAGGUAAAGACCCUUGUGCUGAGUUGCAUCAAAUAAAGGAAUUCAUGCUGCAGGCAGAGGCUUUGGAGAGCAAAAGCAUGCUUUGAACAAUAUGCUGUCUCUGGAAGCCAAAUAUGUACUAAAAUAAAUCACUAAAAACAAACAAAUCGCCCACAAAUUAUACUACCUAAAAUGACAUAGAUUUAAAUUUCCUAUACAGUGAGAUUAAAGUAAAUAUCUCAUGCCUGUAAAAAUAUUCUAAGACAUUGUAAAGGUUUCAAAGUCAAGCACCCGUAAUAAUAAGAAAUGCAUUAAUUUGGAUCCAGCUUUGCAGCUUUAAUUCUUUCCCUCUGGGUGCACUUGCAUCCUGGUAGUCUUCAUUUGUAUGAUUACAUAUAGCUGCCUCCAGAAUGCAGAAUGCUCGCUUAAGCGGGAACCGGUUCAUUUGUUUUUGUCAAAUGUGCUAGAACAGGAGGGAUGUCCUCCAGGUACCUGUGUUUCUCCAUUAACUGCUGACAGGACCAAGGUGAGAACUUAGGUGAGAUACCCACCGCACUGGUCAGUGAAACGAUUCUGAUUCCUGCUUCUAGUACUGACAGAGAACACUCUUACUGGGUGUAUUAGGUUCGUUCCCAGUAGAGCUCACCAUCAGCUGAUGCACAACCAGUGUAAGCUGUUCGUAGUGCUUGACAGCUUCUGGUUCGCUUCCAGGGUGUGUCACUCACUGGGUAAGAGGCUCGUGUGGUCCAGUAACCUUAUGUCAAUCAGAACUGUAACACGUCUCUCUAUGCACCAGUUUGUACCUUUCUGCAGACUGGCAGCAACUUUUAGAAAUACAUUUUCAGAUUCCUCAGAGUCAAAUGAACUUUUUUUAGCAUGAACCCUCAUCUAAAAAUCCAGGCAGGUUGGUGCAGCAACCAAGAAAAAUCUAAUUAACCUAAUGAGAGGAUUUUCAUGUGAGAUUUGUAUUGCUCUCACCAAUGAGGUGGUUCUCCAAUACAACUUCAUGCUAUUGGUUAUUGUUAGAAGUAAUGACCUUCUACAACAUAUGGCCUCCUGCAGACUGUACUUUUGUAAGGGUUAGUUCAGAGCUAGAGGUAAAUGCUACCUCCCAUAUGAAUUUAAUUGAGUAAACUUGCAAGUUGCUAGAAUUGCACUUUUAACAAGUUCGGCAGCUAACUGCAAGACACUAUAUAAAAGGAGUUGUUUGCAUUCACAGGGUUUACUUAAGUUGCUCAGCAUGUCAACAACAUAACACAUUCACUAGAAGAAAUGAGGAAUCUCUAACAAGCAAGUUUAUCCUAGAACUCCUAACCACACACCAUUAAAAUUAAGCAAACUACUUGUUUAUCAAAACCUUCCUUUAAUUACCAAGAACUAGCCAAGUGAGACAAAUCCAUGACAAACUCAAUUGUUAGUUUCCUGAACUCUUCAUGUUGAAAAAAAAAUUCCUUCCUACCAUGCAACUUAACCUACUGGGGCCUUUGAGUCCAGACAGCAUUUGCCUAUUAAGAAGCAUUAUUAUACAUUAAUUACCUUAAGAAACAGAAAAGUGAACUGAAGUUAGCAAUGUACAGUGGAAUGCUAGGAGAGCAUUUUGAGAUGUAAAAGAUUUGUUCUCCAUGCUUUUCCUCAGCCUUUCUCAAAAAACACUAAGAAUAUUAAAUAUGAGGGAUCAGUACAUACAGGUUACAGUUUGUUCCAUUACAAACAUGUGACACUGAGAUGAUGUCAGAAUGCUGUCUGGUCAGAUUAGGUGGUUCUGAUUUUCAUUAUUUCAUUGCAAAUCCUUCAAUACUUUUUCUUUCAGCUGCCAAAAUCAAGAGACUGCAGUAAGAAUCCCAGCUUACACAUUCUUUAAGCAAGUUUUUGAUUCCUCUGUAUGGCAAAAGCUUGUAAGUAUGAAAGGCAGGUCUCCUAAAAGCUCUGGAAACAGAUGGCAAAUAACCAACCACCUACCCUUCCUCUCUAAAUGUCUUAUUUUUAAGAAAAUGGGCUUUUAAGCCAAUUUCAUUUGUGAGUGGGCAUUGACUCAUGAGUUUUGAACAUUUACUGUGGCAAUGCAAAUCUGGAUCAAAGCUUAAAUUUUAUGUUUUAAAAAGCACAGUUGUUUGGGGGUUUUUUUAAGCAACAGAAAAGCUGGUAUUCCAUUUCAUUUUCAGACUAUCCACAUUAAUUAUGUACUUUCAAACAUUCCCUUACAUUUUUGCUGGUCAAAACGCAAGAGAAACCUGUUAGCGAAUCGGUCACAGCAUGUUUUAAGAAGAGUUUAAACAAGUGCCUGUCAGGAAUGAUCAUGGGAUAGCUGGUCCAGCUGCGAAGGCCAGAUAAUCUCUCAGCCUUUCUCAGGAUUUUGAAUCCUAGAAAAGAAGACUUUAUCAUUAAGACACUUCCAAGUACCAUGCAGCUAUAAAAUUCAGUGACAAUGCUGCAGCUUUUGUAUAGUAAAGAUUUUCAUACCAUACUCUCUAGCUUCCUCAAACAGGUAAGUUCAUAAGUUAAGUUAAAAGAAUUUGCCAGGUAGAUAAGAUUCUGCCAUUUUAAAGCUGAUUAAACAAUAUUGUUGAUGACAGAGGUUAGCAUAGGUGUGGCUUGGCAAACAACAAUAAAUAAUCAUAAUAAUAAUAACUACUAGAACAGGAAGCUACUCUUCCUCCAAGCUUCUGAGCAUAUACAUUGCAAUCAUGACAGCAUAUGUAACGGCAAGUUAAUCUUAAAAUCAAUGACCUCCCAAAUCAUGACCUUGUUUGAAAUAUUUUAAUCUCUCUGUCAUGCACGUAUUCUCCAAAGUUACUGUAACUGAAUAAAGUUAGAAAAAUAUUUUCCACUUUGUCAGAUGAUGUGCUUUGAAGAUGCAUGUUUUUGUACUCUUAAAAUAAAAGGAGGCAACUGUCUGUA